GCAAGUGAAACGGGUAGUCUUCGGAUACCAGUCGCGGACGGGUGAGUAAUACAUAGGCAACCGUGCCUUUAUGAGGGGGAUAACCGAGGGAAACUUUGGCUAAUACCGCAUGAAGACUCUAAGGCAUCUUAGAGGGGUAAAAGUUGGGAAACAACGCAUGAAGAUGGGCUUAUGGCGCAUUAGCUAGUUGGUGAGAUAGAAGCCCACCAAGGUAAUGAUGCGUAGCCGACCUGAGAGGGUGAACGGCCACAUUGGGACUGAGACACGGCCCAAACUCCUACGGGAGGCAGCAGUAGGGAAUUUUCGGCAAUGGGGGGAACCCUGACCGAGCAACGCCCGCGUGAAGGAAGAAGGUUUUCGGAUUGUAAACUUCUGUUAUAAGGGAAGAACGGAUUGGAUAGGGAAUGAUCUGAUAGUGGCGGUACCUUAUUAGAAAGCCACGGCUAACUACGUGCCAGCCGCCGC
rnacentral:rRNA from 1 species